CUGCAAAAGAGAUUUUUGCAGCGUACAUAGUAAAAGCCCCCUGCAAUAGACCUUUUAUUUUGCAGCGUACAUGGUAAAAGCCCCCUGCAAUAACAUAUUUGUAAUUUUUUUCGCUGCAACUUUAACUCAGACCAAACAUUUCUACCUCAAACCUCAUGACCAAUUUCGCAGCGAAUAUCCCACUCUCAUUACUCCCUUCUUCUUCUCUCGGCUUACCCUGCGUCUCGCCGGUGGUUCUCACCAGUGGUCGUCGCCGCGUGGUCUCGCCCGUCGCCGGUGGUACUCUAGCAAGAGUCUAUUUAAUUUCCUCACCUCUCACCGGUGGUUCCCUGCUCGAAAAACCCCCGCAAAAGGUAUUCCCUGCUCGAAAAAACAACCGGCGAAGUGAUUCCCUGCUCGGAAAACUAAGCUUCUUUGCUCGGCCGGUUCGCGAACCCUGUUCUCCGUCAAUCCUCGCUGCGGCAAGUAACUUUCUCCCCUGUCCCUUUUUAUUUUCGUUUUCAAAAUUAGGGUUUGUUCAUUUUUCAUUUUUGCAGAGAAAGCCAAAGAAAUUGUUGGCUGACAAGAUUAGGAGAAAAUACAUACGUUUAUCUCGGAGACUUCCUCCACCCUUUUGAAGGGCGCAUAUACCAGUAAAAAACCGUACUGUUAUAAUACUCGAGACAGAUACUGGAGAACAAUACGAAGCCAAUUAUCUGCCUCAAUAUCGUGGACUCAGUGGUGGGUGGAAAAGGUUUGCCAUAGUUCUGAAAUUGGAAGGAGAUACUGUUGUUUUUCAACUAGUUGAACCUGCCAAAUUUAAGUCUACCUCUUCUAGAAUCAAAUCACUAAACUAGUUGAAGCUGAGGAUAAAAGCUGCUAAUGAAGCUGAGGCGGCUUGCCAACGGCGUCUCUCUGUUGCUGAGGCUGAAAUAGCUGAUUUAAGAUCCAAAUUGGAUACUACUGAAAGCAUGGAAGGCAAGCAUUCGUUUCUGUGCCUAGCACUUUUCCUGUGCCUGGAGAAGAACUGAUGUUUUGAUGAUUGUAAGAGGGGCAAGGAGAAGCUUGUUUGUGAUGCUGCUCAAGUACUGCUUUAUUUCGGAGUUGAACAAAUCAUCUAUGUUUCUGAAAUGACGCACUGCUAAAUAAAGGUCUACACUCCGAGGAAUGCGCCUAUACUAGUGAGGAAAUUGAUGUGGUUCGUGAGCAACGGGCUAAGUGUUUUACCCGCAAGUAUUUACUAUUGGCUUGAGCGCGCUUGAUCGAGGUGGUUUAGUUGUUAUAGAACAAUCGUUUACAUUAAAAUGUAUGCGUACAUUGAAAUUGGAACGUAUAUUUGAAUGUAGUACGUGCACUUUGGUUUUGGGAUAUAUAUAUAUGUAUACAAAACACCAGUUAUUAUUUUUUAUAUUUGUUGA